GGUCUGUGAUGUGAAGUAAAAGGUCUGAUGCCCACUGUCCUGUCCCAGCAACCCUUUGGCUCCCAGAAGCCCCUGCUCUUCUUCCAUCAUGCUCUAGAUAUGCAUGUUGGGCACAGGUGCUUCUGACAGCCUGGAUGUCCUCUUGACCAUUUCACCCAGAGACCGUGGUGUUGAAUGCAUGAAUGACAUCCAACACCUCAAAGCAUUAAGGAGCUUUUGGGUCUGUUGUGAGGACUGGAGCCUGAUCUCAAGUUUUCAAGCUGAGACC
ensembl:snoRNA